CAGGCUUAACACAUGCAAGUCGAGGGGCAGCAUCAUCAAAGCUUGCUUUGAUGGAUGGCGACCGGCGCACGGGUGAGUAACACGUAUCCAACCUGCCGACAACACUGGGAUAGCCUUUCGAAAGAAAGAUUAAUACCGGAUGGCAUAGUUUUCCCGCAUGGGAUAAUUAUUAAAGAAUUUCGGUUGUCGAUGGGGAUGCGUUCCAUUAGGCAGUUGGCGGGGUAACGGCCCACCAAACCAACGAUGGAUAGGGGUUCUGAGAGGAAGGUCCCCCACAUUGGAACUGAGACACGGUCCAAACUCCUACGGGAGGCAGCAGUGAGGAAUACUGGUCAAUGGACGAGAGUCUGAACCAGCCAAGUAGCGUGAAGGAUGACUGCCCUAUGGGUUGUAAACUUCUUUUAUACGGGAAUAAAGUGAGCCACGUGUGGCUUUUUGUAUGUACCGUAUGAAUAAGGAUCGGCUAACUCCGUGCCAGCAGCCGCGGUAAUACGGAGGAUCCGAGCGUUAUCCGGAUUUAUUGGGUUUAAAGGGAGCGUAGGCGGGUUGUUAAGUCAGUUGUGAAAGUUUGCGGCUCAACCGUAAAAUUGCAGUUGAUACUGGCGACCUUGAGUGCAACAGAGGUAGGCGGAAUUCGUGGUGUAGCGGUGAAAUGCUUAGAUAUCACGAAGAACUCCGAUUGCGAAGGCAGCUUACUGGAUUGUAACUGACGCUGAUGCUCGAAAGUGUGGGUAUCAAACAGGAUUAGAUACCCUGGUAGUCCACACAGUAAACGAUGAAUACUCGCUGUUGGCGAUAUACAGUCAGCGGCCAAGCGAAAGCAUUAAGUAUUCCACCUGGGGAGUACGCCGGCAACGGUGAAACUCAAAGGAAUUGACGGGGGCCCGCACAAGCGGAGGAACAUGUGGUUUAAUUCGAUGAUACGCGAGGAACCUUACCCGGGCUUAAAUUGCAACUGACUGAACCGGAAACGGUUCUUUCUUCGGACAGUUGUGAAGGUGCUGCAUGGUUGUCGUCAGCUCGUGCCGUGAGGUGUCGGCUUAAGUGCCAUAACGAGCGCAACCCUUACGGGUAGUUACCAUCAGGUUAUGCUGGGGACUCUACCCGGACUGCCGUCGUAAGAUGUGAGGAAGGUGGGGAUGACGUCAAAUCAGCACGGCCCUUACGUCCGGGGCUACACACGUGUUACAAUGGGGGGUACAGAAGGCAGCUACACGGCGACGUGGUGCUAAUCCCGAAAGCCUCUCUCAGUUCGGAUUGGAGUCUGCAACCCGACUCCAUGAAGCUGGAUUCGCUAGUAAUCGCGCAUCAGCCACGGCGCGGUGAAUACGUUCCCGGGCCUUGUACACACCGCCCGUCAAGCCAUGGGAGCCGGGGGUACCUGAAGUGCGUAACCGCGAGGAGCGCCCUAGGGUAAAACUGGUGACUGGGGCUAAGUC
rnacentral:rRNA from 1 species